UGCUGCCCAGACAGGUUAGUAAAAGCUCCGAAUCGGUUCGCGAAUUGGGAUUCAGUCUAAAUCAUUUGCACAGUUCACACGUGCACUGAAUCGUUUGGAGCCGUUUCUCACAAAGUAAAGGAACAACGCGAAUUGUUUGUUGUACUAUUCCUGAUAUUAGCUUCGAAGGUCAAUGUGUCUGCAAUACUUUAUUAAUCAGAGCGCAGUACAAUGUAGAGAUUUACUGACAAAAUGUCGACGACCAAAGCUUCAAAUGUGAAGAUAAUAGUCUUUAGUUAUUUCAACACCUGGACGUGGCGCUUGUGAAGAUAUAAAUGAAGGAAAUCCCAGUUUUUCAAUGCGAUUUCUGAGAUUUGGACUCCUACGUAUACUGACCUACAACACACCAGCAGAUCAGCAUGCCUUGCUGGGAAUCAGCAUGCAAAACACAAAUGCGGGUGAUCGGCACUGAUGUCUUUUUCAGUAGGUGGUAUUCACAACUAUCGCAUUAAUCAAGAAGGGGCUUGACACUGGUUGUUUGUACGGACUGUCAUGGGAGAAUUCGAGAGUCACACCUGUUAGUGAAGCGUGUGUGUGUCUGCAGGGAUCCUGUCAUGUGGACAGGCAGAAACUAUAAAGCUAAGACCUGCAGCCAUUUCAGGUACUUGGAAGAAAGGACUGUGGCAUAUCUGGCCUGGGGAAUUCUGUCAGGAGAAUUGGGAAUUCUGGCACUCUGGAAUAUCUCAAGCUCCUUCAAGGUUAUCUCGGAAAGCUCACAUUGAGGAUUAGAGAAAAUGAGGCUGGCUGGCAAAGCUAAGUUCAUUAUCUGCUGGUUUUAGUGCAAAUGGGUCAGUUCCUAGCUUUGAUAUUCAUAUGUUUAGCAUUAGUAUUAGCAUUAGUAUGUUCCGUCCAUUUGUUUCAAAUGAUUAUUUCUAUUGCAAUUUAAAGUAAAGGGCAUUGCAAACAUUCAUGGAAAUCAGUGUAAUUGCAGAGCUCUGGUAAUUUAGAUUUUGGGUCAGUUUAAUAUACUUUAGUCAUGAGAGUAGUUUCAGAUAGGAAGGAACUGAUCCUCAGCCUGAAAUAAGAGUCAUUUAAUCAUUCAGUCCUUUAAAAAGGCUUACCUACUUCCUCAGCCAAUCACAGCCUCCGAUGAGGCGCAGGUCAGGAAGGUGGUGGCCGUUAAUGCCGUCUGCUCCUCUGAGAUAAAUCCUUCAACAACUUACGAAUUAUGAACACUGAACGGUGUCUAUUUUUUUUACUUAGCAUUAUAAUUUAUUCUCUACAUCCAAGCAUGUUUUAUUUGACAUUUCCUGCUGACUGGUGUGUAAAAUUCGUCAAAGCGUCAAAUUGAGCGUGCUCGUUUGUUUGUAUUGAGUAGAAUGUUAAGGUUACAAAAUGACGCCAUUUGAAGCGUGAACACACAUUAAAGUGCCUUUUAUUCCCGAUCACACGCACAGUAAUUUCAGUUAAAAUGCAAUAACUCUAUGGUGCUGAUAUCUGAAAUUAUAUUUUUCCCAUCUGGCUGCGAUGGUGUGUGCAUGCGCGUGUGUUUCUUUGAAAACAGAGACGGCUGCGUUUAAAGAAGUUCAGAGUUCAGCCUUUUUAGAAGACUGGCUAGACUGCCAAUUACUCUGACUUUGUUUCCGUAGAAACGCUCAAUUAUGGGUAAUAUGCUAAUAAGCAGCAAGCAGGCUGCCUCCUGUGUGAGCUGCUUUGAGUUUGUUCUUUUAAUCUCCCUCUAUUUCAACAGAAUCAAACACUGCAAAUCGACUUAAAGGAUCUGUGCUAAACACAGUCCUGAAACUGUAACAGUACACGCAGCAAACACUUCAACUUUUGUAAAGAAAUAAACUAUGAUAUAUAUU